rnacentral:rRNA from 1 species
GAUGAACGCUGGCGGCGUGCCUAAUACAUGCAAGUCGAGCGAACGGACGAGAAGCUUGCUUCUCUGAUGUUAGCGGCGGACGGGUGAGUAACACGUGGAUAACCUACCUAUAAGACUGGGAUAACUUCGGGAAACCGGAGCUAAUACCGGAUAAUAUUUUGAACCGCAUGGUUCAAAAGUAAAAGACGGUCUUGCUGUCACUUAUAGAUGGAUCCGCGCUGCAUUAGCUAGUUGGUAAGGUAACGGCUUACCAAGGCAACGAUGCAUAGCCGACCUGAGAGGGUGAUCGGCCACACUGGAACUGAGACACGGUCCAGACUCCUACGGGAGGCAGCAGUAGGGAAUCUUCCGCAAUGGGCGAAAGCCUGACGGAGCAACGCCGCGUGAGUGAUGAAGGUCUUCGGAUCGUAAAACUCUGUUAUUAGGGAAGAAUAUAUGUGUAAGUAACUGUGCACAUCUUGACGGUACCUAAUCAGAAAGCCACGGCUAACUACGUGCCAGCAGCCGCGGUAAUACGUAGGUGGCAAGCGUUAUCCGGAAUUAUUGGGCGUAAAGCGCGCGUAGGCGGUUUUUUAAGUCUGAUGUGAAAGCCCACGGCUCAACCGUGGAGGGUCAUUGGAAACUGGAAAACUUGAGUGCAGAAGAGGAAAGUGGAAUUCCAUGUGUAGCGGUGAAAUGCGCAGAGAUAUGGAGGAACACCAGUGGCGAAGGCGACUUUCUGGUCUGUAACUGACGCUGAUGUGCGAAAGCGUGGGGAUCAAACAGGAUUAGAUACCCUGGUAGUCCACGCCGUAAACGAUGAGUGCUAAGUGUUAGGGGGUUUCCGCCCCUUAGUGCUGCAGCUAACGCAUUAAGCACUCCGCCUGGGGAGUACGACCGCAAGGUUGAAACUCAAAGGAAUUGACGGGGACCCGCACAAGCGGUGGAGCAUGUGGUUUAAUUCGAAGCAACGCGAAGAACCUUACCAAAUCUUGACAUCCUUUGACAACUCUAGAGAUAGAGCCUUCCCCUUCGGGGGACAAAGUGACAGGUGGUGCAUGGUUGUCGUCAGCUCGUGUCGUGAGAUGUUGGGUUAAGUCCCGCAACGAGCGCAACCCUUAAGCUUAGUUGCCAUCAUUAAGUUGGGCACUCUAAGUUGACUGCCGGUGACAAACCGGAGGAAGGUGGGGAUGACGUCAAAUCAUCAUGCCCCUUAUGAUUUGGGCUACACACGUGCUACAAUGGACAAUACAAAGGGCAGCGAAACCGCGAGGUCAAGCAAAUCCCAUAAAGUUGUUCUCAGUUCGGAUUGUAGUCUGCAACUCGACUACACGAAGCUGGAAUCGCUAGUAAUCGUAGAUCAGCAUGCUACGGUGAAUACGUUCCCGGGUCU